rnacentral:rRNA from 1 species
UACGUAGGGGCUAGCGUUGUCCGGAAUCAUUGGGCGUAAAGAGCGUGUAGGCGGCCCGGUAAGUCCGCUGUGAAAGUCGGGGGCUCAACCCUCGAAUGCCGGUGGAUACUGUCGGGCUAGAGUGCGGAAGAGGCGAGUGGAAUUCCUGGUGUAGCGGUGAAAUGCGCAGAUAUCAGGAGGAACACCGAUUGCGAAGGCAGCUCACUGGUCCGGUACUGACG